rnacentral:rRNA from 2 species
UACGGAGGAUGCAAGCGUUAUCCGGAUUUAUUGGGUUUAAAGGGUGCGCAGGCGGACUAAUAAGUCAGUGGUGAAAUUUACAUGCUUAACAUGUGACGUGCCAUUGAUACUGUUAGACUAGUAUACAAAUGACGUAGCUGGAAUGUGUUAUGUAGCGGUGAAAUGCAUAGAUAUAACACAGAACACCGAUCGUGAAGACAGGUUACGAAUUUGUGAUAGACGCUCAUGCACGAAAGCGUGGGGAUCAAACAGG